rnacentral:tRNA from 3 species
AAAAUCCGUCGACUUUAUAAGUCGUGAGGGUUCAAGUCCCUCUAUCCCCAAA